GGAGAGAAAAUAUUCAGGACCGGAGAGAGUGGAAGAAGAUAGUAGAGAGGGCAAAAAAACAUCAAAACCUAUGAACUAAGACCUAAAGGAAAAGCGGACUAAUUUACCGCGUGAAAUGGAUGAAAAGAGCUCAUAUUUGAGCGAACUAUACUCUAACAAGAGUGAACGGUCCAUAUAAUAAUUCCAGGUAUGUACCUGUAUAAAUUACCCUCCUUGAAGUUGGUGUAAAAGGUACUCAUCAUUUAUGUAUUGUCUUUUGGAAGGAUUACUAGAGAAAAUCCAAAUAAAUUUUGAAAAAAUGGCUGAAAUCGCUGAAAUUCUUGUAACAAAUUUGGUAAUCAGUGAACAGUUAUUGGUGGUAAAUGAUUUUAAAUUUCACUUAAAGAAAGUGCUAAAAAGUGGAAAACAUGUAUGGUACUGUUCUGCAUCUGGUUGCCAGGCAACCUGUUAUACCGACGGUAAGUUUUUUUUUAAUAUUUUGAGUAGUAACUAUGUUGGUUAUCAACAAUUUGAUGUCAAAAAUGCACAUUUUUGCCAUUUUUUGUCUACCAGUAA
rnacentral:lncRNA from 1 species